CCUACGGGAGGCAGCAGUGAGGAAUAUUGGUCAAUGGGCGCGAGCCUGAACCAGCCAAGUAGCGUGAAGGAUGACUGCCCUACGGGUUGUAAACUUCUUUUAUACAGGAAUAAACUGAGGCACGUGUGCCUUUUUGCAUGUACUUCAUGAAUAAGGAUCGGCUAAUUCCGUUCCAGCAGCCGCGGUAAUACGGAGGAUCCGAGCGUUAUCCGGAUUUAUUGGGUUUAAAGGGAGCGUAGGUGGGUUGUUAAGUCGGUUGUGAAAGUCCGCGGCUCAACCGUAGAAGUGCAAUUGAUACUGGCAGUCUUGAGUACGGUUGAGGUAGGCGGAAUUCGUGGUGUAGCGGUGAAAUGCUUAGAUAUCACGAAGAACUCCGAUUGCGAAGGCAGCUUACUGUACUGCCACUGACGUUGAGGCUCGAAAGUGUGGGUAUCGAACAGGAUUAGAUACCCGAGUAGUC
rnacentral:rRNA from 1 species